CAUAUUCAUAUGUAUCAACAAUACAUAUACAUGUAUGCAUACGCAUUACGUACGUACAUACGUACGCAUAUAUAUAUGUACAGCAAUGAUACGCGUAUCAUUGGUUAAAAAUUACUGUCAUACUGACUCGUUUAAACGCAAAGGGACGCUCGAUUUGACUCUCGCGGGAAAAGGGCGCCUGCCACUGCUUGACGACAAAGCUGCGGACAAAACCUGCAAGUGACAUCAGCAGUCAAAAUAAAACAAAGAUAUUGUUGAAUAAAAAUUUAUUAUAUCAUCCUCGGAAUAAUCUUAAACGUACGAUGUAAAAUACUCCUAAAACUUAACGAUUAAGGAAAUAAUCUUGUAAAAAAUUUUAUUUGUAAAAACCUGGAACAAAUGCAACUUGAUCUUCAAAAUUUUUAUACGAUGUAUUAAUUAAAAAAUUUCAUUAUAAUCUUGCACGAUCUCUACAUUUAGCAGGAUUGCUCCCCAUGAAAGUGUUACUUUCAUACCUGCUAAUCUCUGUGUAAGUAUAAAAUGUAUCUAUAAUAGGUUCAGCAGCUCUGACAUAAUAGAAAACUAAUGGGUACAACUAACCAAAA